GGCCUACCAUGGUGGUAACGGGUAACGGGGUGUUAGGGCACGACACCGGAGAGGGAGCCUGAGAAACGGCUACCACAUCCAAGGAUGGCAGCAGGCGCGCAAAUUACCCAAUCCCGACACGGGGAGGUAGUGACAAUAAAUAACAAUACGGGGUUCUUUCGGAUCUCGUAAUUGGAAUGAGUACAAUUUAAAUCUCUUAACGAGGAACAAUUGGAGGGCAAGUCUGGUGCCAGCAGCCGCGGUAAUUCCAGCUCCAAUAGCGUAUAUUAAAGUUGUUGCAGUUAAAAAGCUCGUAGUUGAAUUUCGGGAUCAGAUUGUCGGUCGUGCCUCGGUACGCACUGGCAUUAUUGGUUCCUACCUUCUGAAGAACCGCGAUGUCAUUAAUUUGGUGUCGUGGGGAAUCAGGACUGUUACUUUGAAAAAAUUAGAGUGUUUAAAGCAGGCGCACGCUUGAAUACAUUAGCAUGGAAUAAUGAAAUAGGACGUUUGAUUCUAUUUUGUUGGUUUCUAGGAUCGACGUAAUGAUUAAUAGGGAUAGUUGGGGGCAUUAGUAUUCAAUUGUCAGAGGUGAAAUCCUUGGAUUUAUUGAAGACUAACUACUGCGAAAGCAUUUGCCAAGGAUGUUUUCAUUAAUCAAGAACGAAAGUUAGGGGAUCGAAGACGAUCAGAUACCGUCGUAGUCUUAACCAUAAACUAUGCCGACUAGGGAUCGGAUGAUGUUGAUUUUUUAAUGACUCAUUCGGCGCCUUACG
rnacentral:rRNA from 1 species